GGCGCGUUUAAUGAUCCAGCGCUUUAGAGCGGCUCAGAGAGGAUCACUGUCAGCGCUCCCACUUAACACAAUUAUAACUGUUACUCUUCUUAGGGGUGUUUGCCAGCCUCCAUGCACAGGUCUCUGGGCUUUCUCUCCAUCUCCAGCAGCACCUGAACCUGGAUCAA
rnacentral:lncRNA from 1 species